AGACCCGAAACCCGGUGAUCUAGCCAUGGGCAGGUUGAAGGUUGGGUAACACUAACUGGAGGACCGAACCGACUAAUGUUGAAAAAUUAGCGGAUGACUUGUGGCUGGGGGUGAAAGGCCAAUCAAACCGGGAGAUAGCUGGUUCUCCCCGAAAGCUAUUUAGGUAGCGCCUCGUGAAUUCAUCUCCGGGGGUAGAGCACUGUUUCGGCAAGGGGGUCAUCCCGACUUACCAACCCGAUGCAAACUGCGAAUACCGG
rnacentral:rRNA from 1 species